CUGGAUGGGUAGGGGAGCGUCGUGUGGGCAGUGAAGCGCCGGAGUGAUCCAGGCGUGGAGCCCACACGAGUGAGAAUGCAGGCAUGAGUAAC
rnacentral:rRNA from 1 species